rnacentral:rRNA from 1 species
AACGAACGCUGGCGGCAUGCCUAACACAUGCAAGUCGAACGAGACCUUCGGGUCUAGUGGCGCACGGGUGCGUAACGCGUGGGAAUCUGCCCUUGGGUUCGGAAUAACAGAUGGAAACGACUGCUAAUACCGGAUGAUGACGUAAGUCCAAAGAUUUAUCGCCCAAGGAUGAGCCCGCGUAGGAUUAGCUAGUUGGUGAGGUAAAGGCUCACCAAGGCGACGAUCCUUAGCUGGUCUGAGAGGAUGAUCAGCCACACUGGGACUGAGACACGGCCCAGACUCCUACGGGAGGCAGCAGUGGGGAAUAUUGGACAAUGGGCGAAAGCCUGAUCCAGCAAUGCCGCGUGAGUGAUGAAGGCCUUAGGGUUGUAAAGCUCUUUUACCCGGGAUGAUAAUGACAGUACCGGGAGAAUAAGCUCCGGCUAACUCCGUG